UCGUGCUCGUCACUGCCGUGCGCAGCUAUGGAACGGAAAAGGUCUGCUUCCUGUUUGGUUACUUUUCAAACAAGAAUCCUUAAGACUGUUUUUGGGUAGUGCUACCGUCCUUAAAAGCUUAUCUGGAUUAACCUUCUAUUAGUUUUGCAUCUGGACCGAUUAAAUGCAGUUCCACCCUCUGUCACAGCCAGACAUCUAGCUCAGCGGGUGAUGUUAGCAUCUGAUAUCCACCGUCCGAGAGCUGUACCAGCUCCCAGCCAAAGCUGUCAUCUCCUAAAUGUCGCCUUGCUCUGGGAACUUCUCCCCCCGGAGCGCUCCGGCAGUGUGUCGGUGCCGCCUCCAGGAGCCAAGUGAAGCCGUGCCAGGUUGGCUGCAAGAGCCAGCCCCUCCACUUGGAUUACACAGGCAGUGCUGCACCAGGGCCAGGCAAUUAUCUAGCUGUCAACACCUUCAUCAGCCUGGGUCAUCCGCCCUGCACAAGGGGGAUAUGCAUCUCUUGGUCCCGUAGUUUAAGGCGUGUUCAUGUUUGAGGGUGGGGGGCUAAGUCACUCUGACUUACCAGUGAUGCCAUCUGCUCAUCAGGGCAAACUAAGAAACCUACCAUUUUCUGCAACUACUGAUUCUGUGGCCGUUUUGCUCCAUAGGUUGAUGAACUUUGUAGCUAGAAAGUCAGUCUUUCAUUUGCCUUCUUCCUUGAGACUAGGUCUAUUCCCAUCAGGCAUUUCACAUGUUGACCGUUUCAGUGAAUGAAGCUUUUAAUCUGCCACAUAUGAUUAGACGCUAAUCGUGUUCAGAGCUGGAAACACCACAGAAGCCACUGGCAUGAAGCAGAGAUUAGUCAUACUAUCAGUUUGUUUUCUUGUAAGCUGCGGGAUUCAUAGAAACUAAGAACCAUAGAGAUUUCAGCAGAGAAGAUAGAGAAAGACAAACAGGCAAUUCUGUGAAUUCAGCACUUAGAGCCAAUAAAAUAGAGCUUUGUGCAAAUAAAACUCAUAAAAACACAGCUUACAUUGUAAAGAAAGCUAUGUGCAAGAAUCUUUUCUCCAGCUUGACAGAGGGUGAUAAGUCAUUUUGUCAAAUCUGACUUCACCAGUAAAAGGAUAGAUCUUGUGCAAAAGGUAGCUUUUGAGCUUGCCACAUAUCAGAAAAAAAUAGGCUGGCUUUUCUGAUUAACAGGUCUUUUAUAUAUAUAUAUAUAUAUAUAUAUAUAAUUAGAUGACUUAAUUUUUCUUUCUUAAUGAGUUAGAGAUGCGAUCUUGCAUUUAUGCAAGCCAAAACUGUUCCAUUGUAUAACAUGAGAUUACAGGGAGGUAGCAGGAACUGAGGCGUCAAGAGGUGGUAGCAGGCAGGGGGAGGAGAGGUCACGGCUGAGAAAGCAUUGAAGGCAUGGGAGUGUAGAAAGACUGUUCCAGCUGCAGAGCAGGAAAGUUGUAUGGCAGAGUGGAAAAGGCUCUGAUUAUUUGCAAGAUAAAUGAACUCUGCUCUUCGUUGGUGGCAAAUACGCCAUUAAAGUAUAAAUGACAGGGAAAUAAAAAAUGUGCUAUGCAACUUUAAGAUUUUUAGCAAAAGUCAGUGAUGAAAGCAGGAUUUGUUUGAAAACCGUUUGAUUUUGUGCAUUUUUCUACUUGGUACCCUCAUUUAUUUGUGAUGAGAAGGACAGCCCGUGAAAGCAGGGCCUUAAGCGUUCGUCCCUCAUGCUCUGGCAUACUCGCCAUCUGUGUAGCAAAAAGCAGGGAUGGAUUAAGGUGGUAACAUAGCCCAGAGUCACUGCAGUUUCUUGAAGCCUUGCACAGACUCCUUCUCCUGUCACUUCUUACUUACGGGGCUUUUGAUCGAGUUUCCAAACCAUUGGCUGCUCUCCUGCCCAAGAGCCAUGUUGUUCUGCUGGCACCUGCUGCUGCCUCAUCCCGGCAUCUGGGGACCAAAUACCAAGAAAUGCUGCCUUCAUCCACUCUUGGCAACCAGGUCUUGCCAGUAACUGUGACUUAAUCGAGGAAUAAGGAGCAAAAUCUGAGAGAUUAAGCAAUGAGGGCAUUGCUGCCCAUAACCGAAGGUGAGGUGUGCCACUUGCAUGCUGCAAGCAGAAUGGCUAGGGUAGGGUCUAGUCCUGCAAGUGGGAAACCAACUGAGUCAUAACUUUGAUCUGGCUACAGAAGCAUAGUUUCGGGGUAAAUAUUGUUCAGCCUGAAGGCUAGGCUAAUGGUUUAUUCAUAGGCAAGCAAGGAGCUGUCUUGGUGGAUGUAGAGCAGCUCAGGCAUGGCUUUCUCCCCGGGCUGCAGUAAUGUGCCUCUUUCCUCCCACCUUUGCUUCUAGUGUGUGGGUCUCAGCUUGGGAGUGUGGCUUUAGGAUGUCCUCGGAGACCCUGAGAGAUGCCUUGGAAAUCCCAGCCCUGAGAGGCAGCGUGUCUCUGCUGCUCCCUGGGGAUAAGGUCGAUUAUACCCAUGGGGAAAUGCUGCUGCUCAGAAAGCAAACGGCUUGAGAAAGCCAGCAGUGGUCACCAGCAGGGACUGUAAAGGGGCACGAUGCCCUCUGGAAAUGCUGCUAGGGGAAUAUGGCCCCACAAUUUAUCUAUUAUUAUUUAUUUACUAAGUUUUCUUCUGGGAGCUUAUUUACUGCUUAAGUUCAGGGCAUGAAUAUGACAGUCCGUAGCCAAGUGUGUCAGCUGACUCCCCCGAGCUCUUUUCAAAUUGGGUUCCUGAUACUUUUUUUAAGGCUAAAAAAAGGCAAAAUGUAUCACUGGCCUACAUCUGUGGUGAUUUUGUGCAGGUUCAUUACAGAGGUAAUACUUCAUACUCCAGGUACUCUGAGUUCACAUACAUAUUUGCGUGCUACUGUUCAUGUUAAUAGGGCUGUGGUACUUUUUUUUAUUGUUUAAUAGUGUGCUGUGAGAAGUAAACUAAGGCUGUAAGGACAUGUGCAUGUUAUGGCAAUUCCUGCUUCUACCUCUAUUACUUCUUUCAAGUAAAAUCUUGUAGCAGAGUGGGAGGUUUGCCUUGGGAUGAAGAAGAAAGCUUGGAUUUGGAGGAGAAAUUAAUAGAGAAGAGAUCAGGAAGUGGAAGCCUUUAAGCUUCAACCCAACUGCGAAGAUCUUAGAUAUCGCUGCUGCCUGGGAAUUUCAAUACCCCAUCCAUUUCAUGGAUUUGGGUCAAGCCAGGUGACUCUACAAGUCACCUGCUAUCAUUGCUGUCUUCAUCUGAUCAUGUUUCAGAAGCUGCUGAUGGCCAGGAGGAAAACAAAGAGAAUUAAAUCAUGUGUAAUCUCCCUGUACUGCAGCUUAGAGAUCCAGGUAUCUCACCAUGGGGACAAGUUAACUGAUACCUCUUUUGGCUUUAAGGUUGCCUGCGGCCAGCCCCAGCGAAGAGCAGCCUGCAGCAGAGAUGCAGCCCACACCAUGAGGGCUGAUUGAAAUAAUUUGUGUGUGCACCCUCAUGCGAGGAACAUUUUUGGCAUAAAAGAUCCUACGAGAGCACUAGGGGCUACUGGGACUAUACAGCAAAAAAUUACUCUGUUCAGCUUCUAGCUUGGGUGUAGAAAGUAGCUCAGGGUGCCAAAAAAGACUUUUCACUUGGUCACUCAGAUCGGAUGCGGGAGGCCUGGAUGAACUUUUCCUUUCCCUAAUUCAAACCAGCCAUCCCUUCUUAAGCAAAAGCCAGGCUCACACUCACGAGGGUGACUUUGUGGCAGUUAGGGGUUCAGGCACGGGUCUCUCCUGCCUGGCAAGAAAUCACACAGAGCCCUUCAGCAGCCAGAGCCACUGGGCUGUGGGACGGGUGCUCCUCCCUCUUCAACGUGUGCAUGGUUCUUCUUGCCCCCCUCAAGCUACCGCAUACCCCACGAUCGCAUUAUUUCCCUGGGUGGUGUGAUAAGAAUCUGAUCCCUGGAGGUGGUGGGGAGAACUGAAUCUGGUUUCCCACCGCCCAUGUGGGCUCCCUAACCAGCGGGCUAUUCGGGGUAAGGCAACUGCUCCCUCCAACUGCUUUAAUAAUCCUUUGAUUCCUCAGCUUGUACUGCCAGUGCCCAAAAUGAAAUGCUUUGCCAUUUGUUUUGCCUGAAACUAUUCCACAAAACUGCUUCCAAUUUAUGAAUGGAUUUGGCUACCUCAGAACCUCAUUUUUAGCAGAGUCACAACUUGCCAAAGGCCCUCACCCAGUGCUAUUCUUGAGCGCUUUGCCCAAUCUUAUGUUUCAGAAGCAGUGCCUGUGUACAGUGUGGUUGCUACAACCUUCCCUCCGAGCCCUCUCCUCCCUCAGUCAAAACAGGAAGGCAGGAGGGGAUGUGCGGCCAAGGCCCCUUGACCUUCCAGGGAGACAGCCAGUAUUUAUGUGGAGGCACCAGGGCUGGUGAUCUUAGCCGCGUUGACAGGGAUGAGUUAUGAAGUGAAGCAGGCGUAAGGGCAGUUUUAACGAGGCGUAGGAUUUCCAGGAUUUAGGAGCGUUUUUAGCACCUUUCCCCUCUGAGCCUGCUCAUAUCCGCACCUCAUCCACUGCCCGCCGGGUGUGGGUACCACUCACUGGUGGCACUGGGAACCGAGCCCCCCGAUCCAGCUCUGCACUCACAUGGGGUGAUGCUACAGGCUCGACAUGUGGGGGCUGUCCUCCUCCUCCACCCUCCCCUCCGGCCCCCCUGGGGCUGCCUUCUCCCACUUUUCCCCCUUUAAGGUGUUUAAUACCCCCAAGAAUAGGGUCAAAAGCUUGGAGGCCAUUGGGGAGGGAAAGCUGGAUGCGCAGCCUUGGCAGAGCCAGUCCCGCAUGCUCAGGGCUUUGCCAGGAGGAUCCAUGCAGCCAGACAGAGGCAGGAUUGACCUCAAAUUUUAAAGCCAUCUGGAGGCCCUUGAUAGUCCAAACACCAUGCUCCCGCUGUGGUUCCCUCCCAAAUCCAUGAAGGGAAAGGACAUUGGGAGAAGGGAAGAGAGAAAAUGAGGCAGUGACUGGGAUUUUCAGUGUUUUGCUUGAGUCCAUCCUUGCUAGACAAAUUUAUGGCAGGCAAGAUUUUACUUGUUUCCUUCCCUGUGCAAGGAGAGCACAAAAUCAACUUCAGUGCGCUGGCAUCUGCGCCAAAAAGCAAACUAAGCUUUUUGGUAAGACAGCUAUUAGCAUUCCUUGGAAAUAAGAAUAGGAAACACCACUUAGAGCAGCAAAAGUGUUUUCUAAGUGCUUUUUUAACUAUCAGUCCAGAUUUAUCACUAAUUCUAUGACCCAAUGAAGAUUCUUUUCUUUCUGGUAGGAGAUGAGCUGAUAGCAAGUGGAUUCUUUGCAUUUUCCUGCUGUGCUAGGAGAAUAAGACAAAAAGCAACCCCCAACUUUGUGCUAUGGGUGGUUUUAGUCUCGAGUAAUUAAUUCAACCCGUAUCUAGCCAGAAGAGCAGCUCUCCUUUAAGUGAGGGGAAAAAGCUUUCAACAAAGUAACCUGAUUGUCAAGCAGCCCUCUUCCCCAGCAGCCAGCUCUGCUCCAGCCGAGCGAUGUGCUUCAUUGAGUCAGUAAGCUCGUGCACAAGACCAAGCCUCAGCCAACAGAUUCUAUUUUUCUGUCUGAUGUUUCACAACUGCAGAAGCAUGACUUAUCUUCCGAAGUAGUCUUUAGGAGAAUAAUUAAGUUAUUUAAGCUGAGCUGCUGACACAUUUCAAUUCUGAACGCGCUGCUGUGCAGUUUACCCAGACAAAGCCCGAAACAUGAAAGCUGGCCUCCUGCCUCUAUUUCCUUGUAACCAGCCAUCAGAGGAACAGCUUUCCCUCUCCGUGGCUAGCUAGAUAUGCCUGGUUUGCUUAACCAGCGGGCGCAUUCCUGCACUUCAGGAAGAACGCUCCAGGCUUGUUACGAGCUACUGGGCUACAGCGCCAGAUUGAGAAAACAGAUUUGUUUUGGACAAGCUGCUCUGACACGGAGGUGCCAGGGUGAAUAACCUUUGAAAAAAAAAAAAAAAAAAAAGUCUGCCUCCAAGAGCAAGAUGAAUAAUCUGACAAGUGAGCGGCUCUGCGUUUCAUAUCAAAGCGUGAAAUGGCUACAUGUCGCGGAGAUCUGACUCAUGAGCAGAAACAGCGUGCCCGGGACGGCUGGCACCGCGACUUCCACCAGCUGUCUGCCCCCACCGCUGGCGAACGGGUGGCUCAGAUGCAGCUUCUGAAGCAAUUCGGCCACAAAAGGCUACAGCUAACUGCUUUAAGGGAAACAUGUCAGUGCUAGUUUAUAGCCUUGCUCGCUAAGGUAAACCUUGAAACUGUCCCUUGUUGCCACAAUCCCUUUCAACUCUCUAGGCAAGAGGAACAGGAUGGAAACCUUGCCAGGCAUCCCGGUGGAAGGUGCGCCAGGCACAAGUCAGCACUCAGCAGAGCAGCUUGUCCCAGCUCAGCCACACUUCGCUGCCAUGGCAAGACCUUAACAGAAGCCCCCCAUCCUCCCGUUGGCAAAGCAUUUUUUUGGGGAUGGACAAGCUCUAAGCCGUGACCCAUUUAACUGCCCUGCCCCAUCACCAGCCAGCAGCUGCAAACAAUCCUGCAACAAAUCCAGCAGUGCCCUGCUACCACGUUUCCCCAGCUGCCCUCCCUGGCACAUUCCCCGACUCAAACACACUGUCCUAAUCCUAGCACAGGGCUGCAGCGCCUCCGGAUCAACACGUAGUGUUUCACCUGGUCUCCUGAGAAAAGGAGACUUCUGCAAGGGAAUUCUCAGUGCUUCGUGCUACCUCUUCUCAGCUCCUCCUCCUGCUCACAACUUUCUAACACGUUUAUAAUGUGCAAGGGAGACAGCUCAGAGAAUUAAACUCCUACAGACAUGUGGGGGGAGUGUGAAUGGGUGGCUGGGACACGCACUCAUCCCCACGGAGGGUGUCCUUACGCAGGGGUCCCAAUUGCUCUCAAUUCGGGUUGCCAUAGCAAAGCCAUGUCUGCAUUGUCCUGUCCCCAGAAAACAAAGGAGGCACACUGCAGAAAGCCAGUUCCCAGAGGCUGAUUCGGCUGGAAACCACCAGCACCUAAAAAUGAUUGAUGACUGCUGGACGAGCUCCACAGAGAGGGCUUGCCUGUCACUCUGACCCGCAGGCGGGCAAAGGAGGACAUGGGAUUUUGCAGGGCUGGGGCAGAAGGAGCGGGACUGCGGCCGUGGUGCUUUCAGGACAUCGGACCUUCUGCAGAGUGAACUCUUAGCAGGGUUACUCUUAGCCGAGAAGGCUGCCCCUGGAUGGGGAAUCCCUUUGCUUCCCGGCUGGGACUCAGGCAGAUUCCUACCACUCCUAAGCAGCCAGCUUUAGCUAAAUAAUGCCACAGCUCACCCAGGCUGUGGGUGGGAAGCACGGUGAGGCUGGGUUACCCCUUUGUCAGCAACCCAAAGGCUGGGGGCAUGGCAGGCAGAACUGCAAAGAGCGGCUCCAAGUUUGCUCGGAACUGUUUUGUCACCGAAUUAUGCAACGUUCGGCUGUGGUACAUUAAAGCUCGUGUUAGAGAGUUUAAUUUUGUUUCGCCAACCCUUAUUCAAGGAACAUCACUAGCUAAAAAUAUCUCCAGAAACUCUAGUGAUGUGGGGGACGGUGCCCAGCCUCUGAAAUUGCAGAUUCCCACUGAUUCUCCCUGGGUGAACCGGCGCUGCUAAGCGAGGAUACCGGCAGCUCUGGGGAUUUCUCACACCCCUUCUGCAUCACUCAUCCACUGCCUGCAGCAGCGUUUCUUGAGGGUCUUCUUUGACAUUAAUAUGCCACAUUUAGCGGUUGUUAAAUGGCUUUAAUCAAGAAUUUUCUUAAAAAAGGAAAAAAAAAAAGGUAUUUUUAAAUACCUCGUGGUAUGCAGAGUCAUGCAUGCAACAUUGCAUCUCAACUCUGAUACUAUUACACAAGAAGGGGGCUGGCAACACUACCUCUAUCGCUUCCCUUCGAAGAAACAAACACAAAAGCGCUGCUGAAAGAUCAGUCUGCUUAGGAGAACGAAAGGUAGCUGCUAGGGAAUUGCCUUUGUGCUCCCAGGUGCGCGGAGGGAAGGAGCAUCAGGUGUGCUUCCACGGCCUUGACGCAGCAGAAAAGUGCCACAGUUAGCUGGGAUGCCUGCCCGGGACGCACAAAACCGAGAGAUGCAGAGUAUUUGAGAGUGGUUUGGCCGCUGGCAGUCAGCUGUGGGAGCCGCAGGAAUCAGGAUGCAGGAAUUUGGGUCUUUGUUUCAGGAACAUUCCUUGGAAAGUGGCGGGGCCAGCUGCGAGACGGUCCGAAAUCCCUCGUCUUAUCAGCGCCGUAGGCAGCGGGGCCAGCCCGGGGGAGCCGAAACGCGGCGCCCCCACCCGGGAAGGGGAAUCGGGGACCCCCUACGAGGACCCGAUGCUCUCCGGGGGCUGCCCCCCUCCCGCUGCCCGCGGCGCCCCCGGGGGUCCCCGGCCCCCAGCCCCUUCCCCGUGCGCCCCCAGGCGCGGAGCUCGGCGGCGGUGCGGGAGGUUUCAAACUCUUCCUAUGCACCAAGGGUCUGAACCCAUCUCACACAUCGGGAGCACAUCCAGAUGUGAGAAAAGGCAUAUAACAAGGAGCCACUUAUGAAGAAGAUUCUGUGAAAUUGAUUUCUUCAGUACAACCAGGCUGCUUUCUGACCAUUCCAGCUGUGCAAUCAGACAAGCAACAGCACUGACAGCAAAGAGAAAAGUGUACGAGCCUGUCCAACUCCAGGCUGCAGCUGUGUGAGAAGCAAUCCAGUUACACAAACCUCAACAGCAGCCAUGCCUGAGUGCUGUGGGAGAAUGCUCUUGGUCAUUCCUCAUCCAUUUUUCCUAUGGGAUACUUGAAAACACGGGAGAAGCUGUCCUGAAAGACGAGCACAGAGGAGGCGAAGGAUCUCUGCAGCCAGGAUGUGCUGCUGCGGUGUGCAAUUGCACAAACCAAGCUGUUGUGUAUUCAGAGUCGCAUCUGCCUGCCCAAAUGACCAAAAUGAAGUAUUUGCUGCUUUCUACUUUAUUUAAACCUGCGGGAGCCAGUAAUGCUCAUCCUCCUCAUGCACCAAGGUAUCCACAUGUGCCGACUCGCCAUCCUGGGACUUCUUCACCGAGCAAUGUCUGAGCAAAUCUCCUAAAACAGAGCAACUGCUCGCAGAUUAUUAUGAUCAUAAUUUGGCUGACACAGCCUUUAUUACUAAUGGUGAUGCUGGAGAUGGAAAACCCAGCUUGAUUCUCAGAUCCCUGCUGGAAAGUAAUAAAAUAAAGAGGAACAAAAUCCAUGAGUGUAUUUGCUACCAAACCUUUGAAAAACACAAAAAUGGAACCCUGCCAAUACUGUUGCUGGCAAUUUUUCAGACCAGAGCCUCUCUCCAAGAUAGCGUUAGAAUUGGAAGUGCAUUUUGUAUCUAUGGCAUUAGUAUCACAUUGUGUACAAACGGGGAGUUUACAAUUAUUUGACAUUUAUUGGUUUGCAUUGUAAUUAUUGUGUGCUGCUCUUAUAUCUUCAGUCUAUUUUUAAGCACCUUCCAGUAACGUAAUAAUUAGAAAAUAACCCCAGUUAUUGUGAAAAAUGUGUUUAUUUUGUUAACUGAAAGAAUGGACAAAAGAAGUGCUUCAGUGGAAGUGCUCUUAUAAAAAUGGAAGGUAUUGCAGUUUUUCAGUGAGGUCUUUGUUGAGAAGAUCGGCUAAGGGAGGUUGGCUUUUACAUAGUCUCCUUUGUCCAUCUUUGUGCAGUGGCAGAAUUCACAGCUAAUUCUGAUGGCAGAAGCUUCUCCUGGGGUGGUAGCUGAGGAUGAUAUAAUAUCAUGUACAACCAUAGGAAACUUCCCCAAGCCAUAGCUAGGAUUUUGAAUAACAGAAUGAGCCUUUGGUACUAAGAAACAAGCCUGCGGUACUAGGAAUACAGAAAAAGCUAUUAAAAUUUUAAACGUAAAAAAGAGCCACUUGAUAAAAUCAGUAGCAAAUAAAAGAGGAAUGUAAAUGUAAUUUCAUUGAUUGAUUUCACUUCCUCUCUUUUUUCAUGUUAAUAUAUUUUUGUCCCUUAAUUCAUAACCACACGGUAAUUAAAAAAUGCAAGAAAAACUAACUUUUUACCACGCUAAUUAAACUGUAUGUCACAUAGGCAUUUGGGGAGAAUUUCCCAUGCUUUCCAGUGUGAAUGGAAGGAAAGAGCAGUGGUGCUCACUUUAAACUCGAUUUUUCUCUAGUACCUUGCAAAAAGGCUUCAUUGUAUUUUGAUUAAUCCAUGCUUGGUCCACCUCGGAUGUUUCCAUGGAAACAGAUUUUUUUUUUUCUUGAUGGCAACUGUUAGGCUCGGGAAGGUUCCUCUCUGCACAAAACCAUUCCAGCUCCUAAAGAACUACAUGUUGGAAAUUUAAUAUACAUAAACAAAACUCCCAAAUUCCUCCUUAGUAUCAUUGUCAUCAAUGCUAAUAGAGAACUGUUUUCUUAAUGAUACACAAUGGUGCUCUUUCACUCCACAAGAAAAUAGAAUAACCUUAUUAUUCUGCAAGAGAGCACUUUCCUUGGUCCAGAAAAAAAUUAGCCUGCAAACCUCUCAAAAUUAAAUUUUAAGAGUUCUGAUGUGUGAAUAUUAUCUAGUUCUGGACAUAAAUCAUUUGGCUUAAUGGCUGUUAAAAUUGAAUUAAACCUGUCUUGUAGAUUGGUAGUAAUUUGAACAAAUUA